rnacentral:ncRNA from 2 species
CCCGGACGUCAGGGGAGUCCCGCCCAGGGGACUGAGAGGCUGACAGGGACCGUCUUAUAGCGGUUCCGGUGAAGCGACCCUUUGAACCUGACCCAGUUGAUACUGGCGUAGGAAGACCGAAGGGCAUUUCC